ACAGUCCCCACUGCUCUUGCUGGAGCCAAAGGGCAAAGAGAGGAAGGGGCCAAAGAAAUGGCAGAGGAAUGAGAACCGAAGAAGGGAAGCCAUGGGGCAGAAGAGAAACACUUCAGAGUCCCUGCUCACCAGGCUUCUGCCGCAUCCCAGAUACAGAAUUUCAGAGAAGGCCACAAUCGUGAGCCUAACGAAAGCAUUUUGAGGAAAACAUUUCCUCAUGUUUUACAAGGAUUCUACACACAUUCUGCAUCCUGCCGAGUUAAGCUUUAUCACACAAACCCCUGGGAACAGGAGGACCCUGAGAGGAGAAUGGGAGAAGCAUCAUUCUUUCCCACAUCAUGCCAUGGAUGUUAGAGGCAAGGCCUUCACAUGAGCCUUUAGGAGAACAUAUGGUGAUGCAAAUCCUUUGAAGAAUCUUGAGACCUUGGACAACCAUCUUACUGGCUAUGGACUGUCUCAGAACUCCUAUUAUGCUGAAUGGAAAUAAGCUUCUACCUUUUAUUGUUAAGUUUAAAGACAACUAAAACCCAACUUAGACACUUUAAG